GAACCGCUGUGAUGACUCCGGAAAAUUCAAGCUCAACAGACCAGAUUGAAGUUCUCGAUCUUUUUAGAUCCUGAAAUUCAUGUCGACCACCCCGCUGACCUGAGCGUUC